UUUACAACUGUCCUAGUCUUGAGAGCUUGCCAGAGAAGGAGGAUCUACCCAACUCCCUUUCUGAAUUGGAUAUUAGAGAUUGUGGAAUAAUAAAGGAGAAGUAUGAAAAGGAGGGAGGAGAGCGUUGGCAUACAAUUUGUCACACCCCGAAUGUGUGGAUUGACCACAUUAAGCAGAAAUGAGAUGUUAUGGGUCCCACUUUUGUGGUCAAAUCUUUUUGGUUCGAAAGGCUAAGAGGAUUUUGCGUUUGGAAUGGUGUGAACAGUGGUGGCAAUUUAUUUUUGAGGGUAUUCUGGUAAAUGAUGACUGUGGUCUUUUACCCAAAUGGAGUUCGCAACAAAUAUUUUUUCCUCUUCAGGAGACUUCAUCGGAUUCAGAGGGCAUCAUCACCCGUUCCAAAAAGGGUAUUUCAAAGCCAAAAGUUUUAGAACCUUAGUUGUCCAGGGAAUGUCUUCUUUUGCUCCUGUGUAAAAGGGUUUCAGCAGGAAAAAGAAUAAUAGGUUGCAACAAGCUAACAGUACAAACACAAAUGGAAUUCAAACUCAUUUUUAAAAAGAGUUUCCCAAAGACAUCGCCAAGUAUUUUAAGAAUUGGUAGAUGCUGAUUCUGCUGGUGAGACACUCCCAACCAAUUCAUCAUCAGUGGCAAGGAGAGAUUGCAGUUGAAGAACAAAGUAACUGCAAGAGCUUGUCCUCUCUUAACAGCCAAGUUUUCUAAAUCAGCUUCUUCUGUUUUCUAACCUCCCGGACGUUUAUGGAAAAUCCAAUACCUUUUCAUGAAUGCCUGUAAUUAUCAUAAGGUUUGGAUAAAGCAAUAGGAUACUGUGAUGCUUAUGGAAAGAUGCCAUGUUUGCUUCAAGUCGUCGACAAUAUGGUUUCAAUUUCAAAUCUCUCGCUGAAUUAAAGACUGAUGAAAAAAGAACAAAUUGAACACUUGCCUAAGUUCUCAAAGUGAUAAGAAUCGGAGGAAAGAUCAGUAGAUGAUGAUAAAGAAACAUUCAAAGUUCAAAGAGGGUAUCAUAGUUUGUUGUGUGAUGGCGACUGGGGGGUACGGUUCAGGGGUGAUGUUGUAAUCUGGACAAGCGUUUAUGCACAAGUUGUGCAUUGUAAACCUUAAUCUUUCACUCAUGAUAAAAAGGAACAGCAGCUGCUUUGCAGUCGGAGACGUAGGCAAUAUUGGCCGAAUUUCGUUACCAAA